rnacentral:rRNA from 1 species
AGAGUUUGAUCCUGGCUCAGAGCGAACGCUGGCGGCAGGCCUAACACAUGCAAGUCGAACGGACCCUUCGGGGUUAGUGGCGGACGGGUGGGUAACACGUGGGAACGUGCCUUUAGGUUCGGAAUAGCUCCUGGAAACGGGUGGUAAUGCCGAAUGUGCCCUUCGGGGGAAAGAUUUAUCGCCUUUAGAGCGGCCCGCGUCUGAUUAGCUAGUUGGUGAGGUAAUGGCUCACCAAGGCGACGAUCAGUAGCUGGUCUGAGAGGAUGACCAGCCACACUGGGACUGAGACAC